rnacentral:rRNA from 1 species
AAUAGGGGAGCCGGAGGGAAACCGAGUCUUAACCGGGCGUUAAGUUGCAGGGUAUAGACCCGAAACCCGGUGAUCUAGCCAUGGGCAGGUUGAAGGUUGGGUAACACUAACUGGAGGACCGAACCGACUAAUGUUGAAAAAUUAGCGGAUGACCUGUGGCUGGGGGUGAAAGGCCAAUCAAACCGGGAGAUAGCUGGUUCUCCCCGAAAGCUAUUUAGGUAGCGCCUCGUGAAUUCAUCUCCGGGGGUAGAGCACUGUUUCGGCUAGGGGGCCAUCCCGGCUUACCAACCCGAUGCAAACUGCGAAUACCGGAGAAUGUUAUCACGGGAGACACACGGCGGGUGCUAACGUCCGUCGUGAAGAGGGAAACAACCCAGACCGCCAGCUAAGGUCCCAAAGUCAUGGUUAAGUGGGAAACGAUGUGGGAAGGCCCAGACAGCCAGGAUGUUGGCUUAGAAGCAGCCAUCAUUUAAAGAAAGCGUAAUAGCUCACUGGUCGAGUCGGCCUGCGCGGAAGAUGUAACGGGGCUAAACCAUGCACCGAAGCUGCGGCAGCGACACUGUGUGUUGUUGGGUA